AGUGAACGCUGGCGACAUGCUUUACACAUGCAAGUCGAACGGUAACAGGCCUUCGGGCGCUGACGAGUGGCGAACGGGUGAGUAAUGCAUCGGAACGUGCCCAGUCGUGGGGGAUAACGCAGCGAAAGCUGUGCUAAUACCGCAUACGAUCUGCGGAUGAAAGCGGGGGACCUUCGGGCCUCGCGCGAUUGGAGCGGCCGAUGUCAGAUUAGGUAGUUGGUGGGGUAAAGGCUCACCAAGCCAACGAUCUGUAGCUGGUCUGAGAGGACGACCAGCCACACUGGGACUGAGACACGGCCCAGACUCCUACGGGAGGCAGCAGUGGGGAAUUUUGGACAAUGGGCGCAAGCCUGAUCCAGCAAUGCCGCGUGCAGGAAGAAGGCCUUCGGGUUGUAAACUGCUUUUGUACGGAGCGAAAAGGCUCCCUCUAAUACAGGGGGCUCAUGACGGUACCGUAAGAAUAAGCACCGGCUAACUACGUGCCAGCCGCCGCGGUAAAAC
rnacentral:rRNA from 1 species